CCCGCCGGCCCCGCGCCCACACCCGCGCUCGCACCCGCGCGCCGGCCCUGCCCCCUCGCGCCUCCGCCCGGGCCCCAGACCCUGGGGGCAGAGGGCAGAGGGCAGAGGUCAGAGGCCGCGGGGAGGAACCCCCCUGUUGCUUCCGCCUCCCGGGGCGCAGGCGCUGGGCGCGGCGGGGAAGGGACUCGGCACUGGGGAAACCCGGAGUUUCAGCCAGGGUCCCAGGGCUUCCUUCCCGGGUUCCUGCCGGAAAACUUUUCUCCUCCGCCCGGAAGCCUCGAUGGGGCACCUGUCCUGCUCUGGCCUGCCCUGUGCUCAGGAAGCUGGCGGUCCCCCUCAGUGGAUCUUCACCCACAGGGACAACCUGCUGCAGACCGGGUAGGAGGGAGGCAGGGGCCUCUUCCCCUCUCCUUCCUGGCCUGGCCCCACACCCACCAGUGUUGGUUUCACUCUGUGGCUACGAUUCUUCCUGGGUGCCCUUUCCAUUGCACAACUCCUCUAGGCUCUACGAACAGAACUUCUCCCCGCCCCCAAGCCUCUUAGGGUGAGACAUGUUGUCGGUCUGCCAUUGUUGCUGGUCCCUAAAUAGCAGCACCCUUUGAAGGAUCCUUGAACCAUGACCACACCGCAACAAAGAGUCCUUCAUCAAACUCGCUUCCAAAUCCCCUCCCAAGAACACCUUCAGUUUCCUGCAAGAACCCUGACUGCUGAAGCCGGAUUUUGACUAAGCUUCUACCUUGUAAACCGUGACUGUGGGAUUGGGGUCGAGGCGCAAUCAGAGGUUGUAUAAGGCACUAGAUCAAGGCUGCCUGUCUGUCAGGAGUGUCUGCUUUAUUCAGUAGUAAAUGUGAAUUGUUUUUCAUUCUGUUGUGAAUACUGUUGGUUGACAAUGCAGCAGCCAUGCCCUCUCUAUCCUUGCUGGUUCAGGUAUCCACUCUGUGUGGCUAAGGGUAAACUCUGUCUCUUGAGAAAAUCUUGGUAACUCCAUUUCUCUUUCCAACAAUUGGCUUCAAACAAGCUCAAGUCAAUGAGUCCCAACAGGAAGCCUGCUGGGGGUUGUCUGGCAAAGGUUUUCUCACUCCUACAGGAACAUAAAGAGGAAAUGCUCCUUUUUCCCUGGUGAAUGUUGCAUUCCCUGUCUGGAUGCAAUGCCUGGUGCUCCGCAGCCCUUUGCACUUAUAAGAGAAGGUGGCCGGAAGAGCAUCUUCACCCUGGGGUGGCCGCCUGGGAAGAUGAGAAGAGCAGGAGUCCUUGGUGGCACAACCAGGCAAUUCACCAAAAUCCUGCUGCCCUCACCUGGAAUUUCCUGCUAUGAGAGACGUCUCCGUUUAAACCACAUGAGCUGGAUUUUCUGUUUCUAACACAUGUCAGCAUCUUCACGGUAAAUCUAAGAAAAAAAAAUCAGGGCUAUUAAAAAACAAAGUCCAACUCACCCUGUGCUAUGGUCUGAAGGUGUCCUCCCAAAUUCACACGUGGAAACCUAAUCCCAAAUACCUGAUACCUAAUCCCAAAUAUUAAGAGGUGGGGGCCUUGGGAGGUGGUUAGGAAUGGGAUUAGUGCCCUUUAAAACUGAGGUUUUUGGGAGCCUGCUUGCCCUUUCUGCCAUAUGAAGAUGCUUAGAAGAGGCCUUCUAUGAAGCAGAGAACUUUUCUCAGAUGCCAGAUCUGCUGGGACCUUGAUCUUGGAUUUCUCAGCCUUCAGAACUGUGGGAAGCAAACUUCUGUGUGUAUGAAUAGCCAUCUAAAGGAUUUUGUUACAGCAGCCUGAGCAGACUAAGACACCCUGUGAGUCAGUUAUUUUUGGCUGUGUCACGAGUGACCGCGAGUGCAGGAGCUGAAACGGCAGUGAGUGGGUUACCAUUUCUCAGGACCCUGCGGAAUUGUGCAUUCAAAAGUGAAACGACUGCCAGAACUCCAGGGCCUGCAAGUUUCUUCCUUCACAUCUAAGCAGAAGGAGAGACUUCACAGUGACGUGCCAGCUAAGUCACGUGCCCACUCCUGCCCAGUCUGUCACGCAAGUAGCAGAGUCCCUGAGAUGAUUGGCUUAGGCCCGAGGUCAGUGCACAUCACCAAACUAGUAAGUGUCCAAGGGGAAUGAAAUU
rnacentral:lncRNA from 10 species